rnacentral:misc_RNA from 1 species
GAAAUGCGAUAAGUAAUGUGAAUUGCAGAAUUCAGUGAAUCAUAGAAUCUUUGAACGCACCUUGCGCUCCUUGGUAUUCCUUGGAGCAUGCCUGUUUGAGUAUCAUGAAAUCUUCAAAGUAAAUCUUUUGUUAACUCAAUUGGUUUCUACUUUGGUAUUGGAGGUCUUUGCAGCUUCACACCUGCUCCUCUUUGUUCAUUAGCUGGAUCUCAGUGUUAUGCUUGGUUCCACUCGGCGUGAUAAGUUAUCUAUCGCUGAGGACACUGUAAAAGGUGGCCAAGGUAAAUGCAGAUGAACCGCUUCUAAUAGUCCAUUGACUUGGACAAUACUUUUAUGAUCUGAUCUCAACUCAGGUAGGACUACCCGCUGAACUUAAGC